AUUGAACGCUGGCGGCAUGCUUUACACAUGCAAGUCGAACGGCAACGCGGGCAUGCUCCUGUCUGUGAGUGGCGGAGGCGUGAGUGAGGGAUAGGAACGUGCCACGUACUGGGGGAUGGGGCGGAGAAAUCGGGAUGAAUACCGCAUACGACCUGCGGGUCAAAGCGGGGGACGGAAAGGCCUGGCGCUAUUGCAGUGGCCGAUGUCGGAUUAGCUAGAUGGUGGGGUAAAGGCAUACCAAGGCGACGAUCCGUAGCUGGUCUGAGGAGACGACCAGCCACACUGGAACUGAGACACGGCCCAGACUCCUACGGGAGGCAGCAGUGGGGAAUGUUGGACAAUGGGGGCAACCCUGAUCCAGCCAUGCCGCGUGCGGGAAGAAGGCCUUCGGGUUGUAAAGCGCUUUUGUUCGGGAAGAAAGCAUUUGGGCUAAUACCCCUGGGGGAUGACGGUACCGGAAGAAUAAGCACCGGCUAACUACGUG
rnacentral:rRNA from 1 species